AUGUACCUCCGGGCGAGGAUCAUCCAGAAACGCAAUUACCUGGAAUUCUCAUCAUCUGAUAUUGCAGAUUCAACUGUGGUCAACACUAUUUUCCCUAACUAUGCUAAUGGGAACGUGCGCAUAAAAUAUAACCACUUCAAUAGGUUUUGGAGGCUCAGCCCCAACUGGAUCUGGGCUGACUCGGCCGACACCAGCAGCAGAGACCGUGACACGCUCUUCAGGGUGGUCAUGUUGCCCGACUACAUCGGUCUCCAGAACCUGCGAAACUCCAGGUACUGCAAGAGGCUAACUGCCGACAAGAAGACAAGCUGCCUUAAUGCCGCCGUCGAUACCAUCACCCUUGAAGCAAGAUUACGGGUGGAAGAAGCCGUACUUUCGCGAGAGGUCUAUGGCGUGGAGUUCAAGCUCUCCGAAGCUAGGAUCUACGGCGAGAAGCCUCUUACCUUUCCCAGCAUGACUUCAACCAAUGACACCAAUGAAACACAUGCCAAAACCCUGACCCUGAAAUACGAGGAGACGCAGGCCAAGACCUGGAGCUCGACUGUUAGCCUCAAGAUCGGUGUCACGACCAAGUUAAGAGCCGGGAUCCCGGUCAUAGCAGAAGGGAAGGUUGAGGUAUCCACUGAAUUCAACUCAGAGUACGAGUGGGGGUCAUCCAUUCAGACAACGACGUCACAAGAGGCCUCCUACCAGGCUGUGGUGACUCCGAUGACCAAGGUGACAAUCAGAGCGGCUGCGACUCAGGGUUUUAUUGAUGUCCCGUUCUCCUACACUCAGAGGGACAUUCUGAUCACAGGAGAGGUUGUUACCUACAAGAUGGACGAUGGCCUGUUCACUGGUAUGAACAACUAUAAUUUUCAAUUUGAAGCCACACAAGAGCCCAUCUGA
rnacentral:rRNA from 1 species